rnacentral:rRNA from 1 species
UACGGGGGGGGCAAGCGUUGUUCGGAAUUACUGGGCGUAAAGGGCUCGUAGGCGGCCAACUAAGUCAGACGUGAAAUCCCUCGGCUUAACCGGGGAACUGCAUCUGAUACUGGAUGGCUUGAGAUUGGGAGAGGGAUGCGGAAUUCCAGGUGUAGCGGUGAAAUGCGUAGAUACCUGGAGGAACACCGGUGGCGAAGGCGGCAUCCUGGACCAACACUGACGCUGAGGAGCGAAAGCCAGGGGAGCAAACGGG